rnacentral:rRNA from 1 species
GCAAGUCGAGUGGGUUUAGACCCACGGCUGACGAGGUAGGAACACGUGGGUACGUACCGGAAAGUCGAGGAUAAUCAGGCGAAAGUCAGGAUAAUACUCGAUAGUCCCUUCGGGGUAAAGAUUUAUCGCUUUCUGAACGGCCCGCGUGCUAUCAGCUUGAUGGUAAGGUAACGGCUUACCAUGGCUACGACGGAUAGGGGGGUGAGAGCCUGACC